rnacentral:rRNA from 1 species
UACAGAGGGUGCAAGCGUUGUUCGGAAUUAUUGGGCGUAAAGGGCGCGUAGGCGGCGCGACAAGUCACCUGUGAAAUCUCCGAGCUUAACUCGGAGCCUGCAGGCGAAACUGUCGUGCUGGAGUAUGGGAGAGGUGCGUGGAAUUCCUGGUGUAGCGGUGAAAUGCGCAGAUAUCAGGAGGAACACCGAUGGCGAAGGCAGCUCGCUGGGACGGUACUGACGCUGAGGCGCGAAAGCGUGGGGAGCAAACAGG